AUAUAUAUAUCAACCAUUCUCAUUGUUGAGUGGUUUGGAUGUGGGGGUUUGCUGGCCUCUUGAAUGAGUUCAGCUCCCCUGAAAUUCAUUAGCAGAGCGACCCUGUUCAUUGGUGUGAUAACUAUCUACGCUAUUGAAUGUGAGGGGCAGUUCAGCUUUCUAACAGUCUUUGGACAAUUUAUCAUUU
rnacentral:misc_RNA from 1 species